AUGGCGACCGGCGCACGGGUGAGUAACGCGUAUGCAACUUACCUAUCAGAGGGGGAUAGCCCGGCGAAAGUCGGAUUAAUACCCCAUAAAACAGGGGUCCCGCAUGGGAAUAUUUGUUAAAGAUUCAUCGCUGAUAGAUAGGCAUGCGUUUCAUUAGGCAGUUGGCGGGGUAACGGCCCACCAAACCGACGAUGGAUAGGGGUUCUGAGAGGAAGGUCCCCCACAUUGGUACUGAGACACGGUCCAA
rnacentral:rRNA from 1 species